UACGUAGGGGGCAAGCGUUAUCCGGAUUUACUGGGUGUAAAGGGAGCGUAGGCGGUAAUGCAAGUCAGAAGUGAAAGCCCGGGGCUCAACUCCGGGACUGCUUUUGAAACUGUGUCGCUAGAUUGCAGGAGAGGUAAGUGGAAUUCCUAGUGUAGCGGUGAAAUGCGUAGAUAUUAGGAGGAACACCAGUGGCGAAGGCGGUUUACUGGACUGUAAAUGACGCUGAGGCUCGAAAGCGUGGGGAGCAAACAGG
rnacentral:rRNA from 1 species